UAAUGAAGAUUGAACACCAGGCUGCUCCAAUUUAGCCAUGAAACCUAAAAUCCCACACUAAAAUGAUGACAGGUGUUUCAGUUUCAUUGUUUAACCCCUGUAUGCUCGUGUAAAGUUCAGGACAGGUCAGAUUGGGACUGAACCGUCGUCAGCAGCUCUGAUUGUCUCUGAGAACAUGUGUGUUGAUGGAUGGCGGCUCGGCCGACGGCGGCGCUGCUGUUGGCUGGAGGUCUGCUGGUCCCUGUUUAUACGAGCAGUCUGUCCUCACUGAUUCACUCCCACCGUCCCCCCGCCCCCAAAUACAGCCAGAUGUUCCCUUACAAGGCCGGGGACGAUCUGGCUGCUGCCGCUGUUGUAUCAGGUAGAGCUUUACUGUGGAGCUCGGCCUUCCUCCUCCAGUGGCAGCAGUGCGCUCUGUACUCAGCUCCAGAGCCAGGUCUUUAACAAAAACUACUCUUUUAACACCUAAAUUUAACCCUUCUGUUAUGUUCUGGGUCAAUUUGACCUGUUUUUAAAGUUUGAAGAUCUAGUAAAAAUAGUUAAAAGUAUUUUUUUUUCCAGUAUAAAACUUCUUUUGCUUGCCUUAAUUAUUCUAGUCAUCAUAUCGCAUAUUUGCAACAAAAUUACAGUGUUAUGUUUCAAUAUUAUGUAAAACUAUUGUUGGUAACACUUUAAAAUAAGACUACCAUUAUAAAGGGUUUAUGAAUGGUUUAUAAAGAAGUUUAUUAAUGGUUUUUAAUUAGGUUGCAAAUACUUUAAAACCCAUUAAUAAGCAGUUAAUUAAUAUAUAACAAGUAGAAAAGGCAACGGUGAGCUGAAAAUUAGCAAAAUAAUGAUUCCACACUCAUUUAUAUCAUUUAUACUGUCAAUCCUCAGAUCUUUAUAGAUACUGAUUUUACUUUGUGUUUUCCAUCAAUCAGCAUUAAACCUGUCAUAUUAAUAUAUUUAUAAGUAUGUUUAACUAUUUACCAUAGAUUAAAUGAAUAAGUUGCCAUUGAUGUGUUUUAACUGCUUAUCAAUGGUUUUUAAGGCAUUUACAACCUAAUCAAUAAUAAUAAGUAAUAAUCUAAUUUGCAAACCAUUUAUAAAUCCAUUUAUAGUCUUAUUUUAAAGUGGUACUCAAUUGUUUUAUGUGUUAAUAAUAAUAAUAAUAAUAAUAAUAAUAAUAAUAAUAAUAAUAAUUGUAAUAAUGAAGUUUAUUAAUAUAGCACCUUUCAUACAUAAAAAUCCUCCUCAAAGUGCUCUACAUAGAGAGAAAGAAUUGGUUCAUAAGCACAACAAGCAAGCAAGGCAAUUUUAAAAAAUAAAAUAAAUAAAAUAAAAAUAAAAUAACAAAAUAAAAUGAACAUGAAUAAAAUAUAAUACUCAAAAACAGAUGUAUGACAAUUAUGAUAGAAUAAAAAUACAGUCAAAACCAGACAGAUAAAAAUAAGAUCUAAUUAAAAACUGUAAAAUAAAAAUAAAAAUAUAAUAAUAGGGUAAAAAUGAAAUCAGAACCAAAAAAUAAAACAGUUAUAAUACAUAAAUAAUAAGAAAGGUCUAAAUGAAUGCUAGAAAAUUAAUGAGAAAUAAAUAUAAGAAGCUCUAAUUAAAUGCAAAAAAAGAUAUGUUUUUAGAUUUUUCUCAAAAAUAGAGGUUGCCGCUUCUCUACUCUUUAUGAACAUGAUGGCAAUUGUGUCUAUUUGUAUGUUUGUUCACAUACAUAACAGUAAACAGUAUUUUGGCCAAUCAUGCUUCAACAACUGUGAUUCCAUAACAUACACAGAGUGCGGACUAUAAGUAAAUAAUUCACAAACUUAUCUUAAUAAAUGAUUGAUUCAUUCAAAUUGCUUUUCUCCAACUCAUUCAAUUCAGUGUGCAUUAAUUUUUUUCUUCACACUUCGUCACUGUAGUUACUGCUCUUGACUUGUUUUGCACCUUGUAUCCAGAGUUUUUAAUGGAGUUAUUUUUGUCUUUUGUGCUGAAUAAAUGAUUCUGUACCCAGGACUGAAUCCAUUUGUCCCUUUUCUGAGUGAAUAACUGCUCUUUGCUGUUGUUGUUUUUUUU